rnacentral:lncRNA from 1 species
AGCGCAGGCCGCCUUGGAGCCGGAUGGACCCCACGGAAAAUGCUCUGCCGGCGAAAGCGGCUGGCAAUGGGGUUGAUUUCAAGGCAGGGAAGAGCCAUCGCGCUGCCCUCCUCGGCUGGGAUGGCGAGACAGGGCUGGCACGGCUCACGCUGUCCGGUGCUCAGAAAACCGGUAAUCGCGGGCCCGAGGCGCUGCUCGCCGCCGUUUUUUGGCCCUGGGUUCCGUCGAGUGGAUCCAGCUUGUCAGUCUUUGUGUAGAUUUGGCUGCGUUCGCUCCGCACUUCGGAGGAGGUGGCGUUUCAUGGGAAGAAAUGCGCUCUAGCAGAUGGCCGCCGUGGCCAGUCAGCCCUGCUGCCACCGACGAAGACGCGGGCGACAGACCUGGACUCUAAAGAAAUCUGCACAGACGUGCCCGGCGCCCUCGGCCUUCCCAGCUCCGCGGCCGCAGCGACGCCGGUUAGGAUGUCGGCCCUGUGGGAGGGGCGCCCUUCCUGGUGCCGGGCCCUAACCCACGACCUGGAACAGCAGCUGGCCCGUGGCAAAUGCUGAGCAUAUCUCCUGAAAGAAUGGCUUCGCCGGUCCCUAGAGAAUGCACCCGAGUUUUGUGGCAAGGGCUUCAGGAAGAGUCGUUCCACAGGGUCCCUGGAAAUGAAACCUGAAAGAGAAGAAGCAAAUACAGCAGUUUUGAACUACAGAGUGCCACUUAAUGGACAGCCCAGACUACACGGCAUCUCCAGUCCGUCUGCCCC